rnacentral:lncRNA from 1 species
GGGCCUAUGCGCCUCCUUGGGAUUGUGGGGCUCCUCCCAUCCACACAUCAAUAUAUGGUAAACAUAAAAAGAGGGCACCUGCCAUCCGUACACAGGCUCCCUCAGGGGGCUGACUCCUCCUUGACUGGAGGGUUAUGUUAUGGUGUAGAGUGGGGGACUUCCUUAGUCCUAUAUUGAUUGUGAGUCAAGAGAGACUCUGACUU